UACGAAGGGUGCAAACGUUGCUCGGAAUCAUUGGGCGUAAAGCGCACGUAGGCGGCUUCGCAAGUCGGAUGUGAAAUCCCAUGGCUCAACCAUGGACGUGCAUUCGAAACUGCGAAGCUUGAGUAUGGAAGAGGGUCGCGGAAUUCCCGGUGUAGAGGUGAAAUUCGUAGAUAUCGGGAGGAACACCAGUGGCGAAGGCGGGACUCUGGGCCGAUACUGACGCUGAGGAGCGAAAGCGUGGGGAGCGAACAGG
rnacentral:rRNA from 1 species